rnacentral:rRNA from 1 species
GGAUCCAGACUUUGAUUAUGGCUCAGGAUGAACGCUAGCUACAGGCUUAACACAUGCAAGUCGAGGGGAAACGACAUCGAAGGCUUGCUUUUGAUGGGCGUCGACCGGCGCACGGGUGAGUAACGCGUAUCCAACCUGCCCACCACUUGGGAAUAACCUUGCGAAAGUAAGACUAAUACCCAAUGAUAUCUCUAGAAGACAUCUGAAGGAGAUUAAAGAUUUAUCGGUGAUGGAUGGGGAUGCGUCUGAUUAGCUUGUUGGCGGGGUAACGGCCCACCAAGGCGACGAUCAGUAGGGGUUCUGAGAGGAAGGUCCCCCACAUUGGAACUGAGACACGGUCCAAACUCCUACGGGAGGCAGCAGUGAGGAAUAUUGGUCAAUGGGCGAGAGCCUGAACCAGCCAAGUAGCGUGCAGGAUGACGGCCCUAUGGGUUGUAAACUGCUUUUAUAAGGGAAUAAAGUGAGAGUCGUGACUCUUUUUGCAUGUACCUUAUGAAUAAGGACCGGCUAAUUCCGUGCCAGCAGCCGCGGUAAUACGGAA